GUGCCAGCCGCCGCGGUAAUACCGGCAGCUCGAGUGAUGUCCAAUAUUAUUGGGCCUAAAGCGUCCGUAGCUGGCCGACCAAGUCUCCCGGGAAAUCCACCCGCCCAACGGGUGGGCGUCCGGUAGAAACUGGCCGGCAUGGAACCGGAAGGCUCAGAGAGUACGUCCGGGGUAGGAGUGAAAUCCCGUAAUCCCGGACGGACUACCUAUGGCGAAAGCACCCUGAGAAGACGGCUUCGACAGUGAGGGACGAAAGCGCGGGUCUCAAACCGGAUUAGAAACCCUAGUAGUCC
rnacentral:rRNA from 1 species